rnacentral:tRNA from 1 species
GGCGGAGUAGCUCAGUUGGUUAGAGCAACGGAAUCAUAAUCCGUGUGUCGGGGGUUUCCGCCACAGGCGGAUUCGCUGUGGCGAACGAAUCCCUCCUCCACUGCCA